UUUUUUGUGAUUAUAUAUUUCAUUAUGAGUAGUAGGUUGUGAAAUAAUAGUUGUUUUGGUCGAAAAGUCUUGGGGAAAUAUUUAUUAAAAUGUAGGCUAAAUAUUUUAUUACAUGUUAUUACUAUAUGUUUUUCAUAUGAAACGUAAUGAUCGUUAAUUGAGUUUCAGAAUACCAUCGGGAAAGCUUUAUUUUGCAUUCAAACGUCUGAUAUUCCCCAUUAAUUUUAAAGGGAGAUCUAAUGUUUUGCCCUCAGCACAGUUCAGGCUUACUUCCGGUACUUCACAAGCUUAGGUUCGCUAGCAGAAGGCGUGCUCGCCUGUCUUCUGUAGGAGCCGCAGUAGUUUCAUACGUCCUGCCACAUGCAUAUCGACUUGAAACACUACAUUACCCAGUAUCUAUGUACUUUAUACUCCUUCCGCACAACACCCAGAUAGCUCAGCGCAACGAGUUGGUUGUUAUAAUCAUCGUUUUAGUUGAUGCAGGAAAAAAUUCAACGGUGCACAAUAUUUUAAAUAUUUAAUUCCUGCGUAAACGGCCAGGGUCGACUUUCGGUGAUCUCGAGUGAGUUAACCCUCGAAUGAUGGCAACGGAAAGUGAAAACGACAUUGAGAUUCCACCGGCGGGUACUCAAAUUGAGAAGUCGAAAAAAGAAUUCGUCUGGACUCAACAGGCAACAUGGCUACUGGUCCGCACUCGUUUGUCCAUGGACUCCGACUUCAAUCGGCCAGUGUGCAAGAUGAAGAAACUCUGGGCGAGGGUGGCUGAGAAGGUGACAGCUAAACUGAAGGAAUCUGGAGAAGAUGUUUCUGUGAGAUCCCAUGAGUGUGACAGCAAAUGGAGGAAUAUGUUGUCAACCUACAGGAAAAAUGCAGAGAAAGCCAAAAGACUUGGUGCUCAUAUCGUUCAUUGGGAGUUUUUUCAUGAGAUGCACGAUGUGCUGGGGAAAAGCAGUGACGAGUUGGAUGGACAACGGAAGGAUACAUUAAAUGGGAGUAAAUUGGCCACUCUUAUAGCGAGUAAAAAGUAUACCCCAAUCCUUCCUACUCCACCUGUGCCUCCUACCCCCCUCUCCUCUCGCCCUCCCCAAGAUGUAUUGCAGUUAUACUUAGAGCUCCAAGAGAGAAAGAUGGACUUGUGGAUGCAACAGAAAGCUUUGGAGGAGAGAAAGAUAGAAGCUAUUAAUAACCUGGCCCGAGCAAUCUCCAGUUUAGCUGAGGACCGUAACACCCAGUCACCAAACAGUGGGUAGGCUGGCAUGCAGGGUGGUGCAGCGUUCCCUGAUAAAAACACCAGUAACAGUCCUGUGAACAUUCUGGUGUGUUUUACUAACUGACAGAUGUACAGUAUUAACAACAGAUUUAAAGAAACAGAUCUGCAGUCCUGAGGUUGUGCAAAUGCAAGUGUUGUUUGCGGGCAAAAUUACUACAGUCUCAUGGAGAAAAAAGAAGAAAUGCGACAAAAUACAGUUGGUAGUUUCUUGGGUAUGCAGAGAUUUAAAGUUAACGUUUCCACUAAGACUUUACUUUUUAGAGCAACCAUUGCUUUUACAUUUAUGCUACAAAGCUUGUUUUUAUUUUACAUAGAAUUUUUAGUUGUAAUAAGUUUUUUCCACGAUUCCAGCUCAAUCAAUUUUCACAAUUCCAGCUCAGUGAGAGGUAUUCUAGACAUUAACUGAUGCCAUUGCGAUGUGACUGGAGUUGUCUUUAUUUUCCAAAAUUUGAUCGUUGAUGCAUUUCUCAUUUAUUAGAUCUUAUGCCGAGAAAAAAAAUGUUAACCACAUUAAAAGCCAUCUUACAGAAAAA